CUGCCAACCCGGAAGGAGCCCGGAGGGGCCCGGGCGGCCAGGGCGCCCCCGCCAGGAGGCCCGCCAGGUGUCCACCUGAGCCCCACGCCCUGCGCCGCGGGGCCCUUUUGGGGGCGGGGUGCCAGCUCCGAGGUGUCCUCCCACGGGCUGUAGACUGGGAAACUGAGGCCCGGGCCACGGUCCCAGACGCAGCCGGGACCCGAACCCACCUCACCUGAGCGAAUGAUAUCCGGGACUCAUCCUUUUUCGACACCUUUGCGGGAUCCAGCCCUCCAAGGAAAGCUUCCUGAGCAGUGCGCGCCACGUGUAUUGGGCACCUCACCGCGGCCACUUCACAUCCUAUCUCAGGUGGAGAAACUAAGCCACAGAAAGGAGCUGUCAUUUACCUAAAGCACCGUGGCAGGGGUUUGGCAGAGCCAGGAUUUGUACCCAGAUCGCCUGACUUCGGAGAGUAACAGCUCUUAACCACAGCACUUCGGUCUAUGCCUUGAUUUCACCAUAUGUAACAAGCAGCUGUGCCACUUUGCAUUCCCACCAGCAGCACGCAAGCGUUCGAAUUUCUCCGCACGCUCCCCAACAGGUCUCGCUCAUCACCAGGCUGGAGUACAGUGACAUGA
rnacentral:lncRNA from 1 species